AUCACUUUUCAGCCUUUUGGCUAAGAUGAAGUGUAGUAUCUGCUCUUAUCAGUUUAAUAUUUGCUGUAUUCUCUAAAUGUGAAAGUGAUAUUAAACAGAUUUAUUUCAGAACACAAUGCUGGAAUAGGAGCUUGCUCCACACAUCAAUCUAGUAUUGCAGUAUCUCCAAAAAUAGUGCCCUUAUU